AUACGGAGGGUGCAAGCGUUAUUCGGAAUCACUGGGCGUAAAGGACGCGUAGGCGGGUUGGCAAGUCAGAUGUGAAAUCCUACAGCUUUACUGUAGAACUGCAUUUGAAACUGCUAACCUAGAGUAUGGGAGGGGGAGAUGGAAUUAGUGGUGUAGGGGUAAAAUCCGUAGAUAUCACUAGGAAUACCGAAAGCGAAGGCGAUCUCCUGGAACAUAACUGACGCUAAGGCGUGAAAGCGUGGGGAGCAAACAGGAUUAGAUACCCUAGUAGUCC
rnacentral:rRNA from 1 species